rnacentral:rRNA from 1 species
UGGGGAAUAUUGCACAAUGGGCGCAAGCCUGAUGCAGCAACGCCGCGUGAGGGACGACGGCCUUCGGGUUGUAAACCUCUUUUGGCAGGGAAGAAGCGAAAGUGACGGUACCUGCAGAAAAAGCACCGGCUAACUACGUGCCAGCAGCCGCGGUGAUACGUAGGGUGCAAGCGUUGUCCGGAAUUAUUGGGCGUAAAGAGCUCGUAGGCGGUUUGUCGCGUCUGCUGUGAAAACCCGAGGCUCAACCUCGGGCCUGCAGUGGGUACGGGCAAACUAGAGUGCGGUAGGGGAGAUUGGAAUUCCUUGUGUAGCGGUGGAAUGCGCAGAUAUCAGGAGGAACACCGAUGGCGAAGGCAGAUCUCUGGGCCGUAACUGACGCUGAGGAGCGAAAGCAUGGGGAGCGAACA